GAUGAACGCUGGCGGCGUGCCUAACACAUGCAAGUCGAGCGAUUCUCUUCGGAGAAGAGCGGCGGACGGGUGAGUAACGCGUGGGUAACCUGCCCUGUACACACGGAUAACAUACCGAAAGGUAUGCUAAUACGAGAUAAUAUGCUUUUAUCGCAUGGUAGAAGUAUCAAAGCUUUUGCGGUACAGGAUGGACCCGCGUCUGAUUAGCUAGUUGGUAAGGUAACGGCUUACCAAGGCGACGAUCAGUAGCCGACCUGGGAGGGUGAUCGGCCACAUUGGAACUGAGACACGGUCCAAACUCCUACGGGAGGCAGCAGUGGGGAAUAUUGCACAAUGGGCGAAAGCCUGAUGCAGCAACGCCGCGUGAGCGAUGAAGGCCUUCGGGUCGUAAAGCUCUGUCCUCAAGGAAGAUAAUGACGGUACUUGAGGAGGGAGCCCCGGCUAACUACGUGCCAGCCGCCGCCGUAA
rnacentral:rRNA from 1 species